ACCUUCCAAAGAAUUCUCCUUUUGGGCUUUUGAUUCUUAAUUUCAGCCCAAAGGUGAAUUUUUUGGGA
ensembl:miRNA mdo-mir-186 mdo-mir-186